rnacentral:rRNA from 1 species
UACGGAGGGAGCUAGCGUUGUUCGGAAUUACUGGGCGUAAAGCGCACGUAGGCGGCUUUGUAAGUUAGAGGUGAAAGCCCGGGGCUCAACCCCGGAAUUGCCUUUAAGACUGCAUCGCUUGAAUCCGGGAGAGGUGAGUGGAAUUCCGAGUGUAGAGGUGAAAUUCGUAGAUAUUCGGAAGAACACCAGUGGCGAAGGCGGCUCACUGGACCGGGUAUUGACGCUGGAGGUGCGAAAGCGUGGGGAGCAAACAGG